rnacentral:miRNA from 1 species
GUUUGUGUGUGUGUGUGCGUAUGUGUGUGUAUGAGUAUACAUACACAAACACACAUAUAUAUGCAACAAUA